rnacentral:rRNA from 1 species
GAUGAACGCUGGCGGCGUGCUUAACACAUGCAAGUCGAACGGUGAAGGCGGAGCUUGCUCUGCUGGAUCAGUGGCGAACGGGUGAGUAACACGUGAGCAAUCUGCCCCUGACUCUGGGAUAAGCGCUGGAAACGGCGUCUAAUACUGGAUACGAGCUGCGAAGGCAUCUUCAGCAGCUGGAAAGAACUUCGGUCAGGGAUGAGCUCGCGGCCUAUCAGCUUGUUGGUGAGGUAACGGCUCACCAAGGCGUCGACGGGUAGCCGGCCUGAGAGGGUGACCGGGCACACUGGGAAUAGGACACGGCCCAGACUCCAACGGGAGGCAGCAGUGGAGAAUAUUGUACAAUGGGCCAAAGCCUGAUGCAGCAACGCCGCGUGAGGGACGACGGCCUUCGGGUUGUAAGCCUCUUUUAGCAGGGAAGAAGCGAAAGUGACGGUACCUGCAGAAAAAGCGCCGGCUAACUACGUG